CAUUACUGAGUUACCGCUCUAUAACCCUUUGUGAACAUACCUACAACUGUUGCUUCGGCGGGUAGGCCGUCCCCUGAAAAGGACGCCUCCCGGCCCGGACCGGACCCCCCGCGGGACCGGACCCGGCGCCCGCCGGAGGAUAACCAAACUCUAUUGUAACGACGUUUCUUCUGAGUGGCAUAAGCAAAAUAAUCAAAACUUUUAACAACGGAUCUCUUGGUUCUGGCAUCGAUGAAGAACGCAGCGAAAUGCGAUAAGUAAUGUGAAUUGCAGAAUUCAGUGAAUCAUCGAAUCUUUGAACGCACAUUGCGCCCGCCAGCAUUCUGGCGGGCAUGCCUGUUCGAGCGUCAUUUCAACCCUCAAGCUCUGCUUGGUGUUGGGGCUCUACGGUCGACGUAGGCCCUCAAAGGUAGUGGCGGACCCUCCCGGAGCCUCCUUUGCGUAGUAACAUUUCGUCUCGCACUGGGAUCCGGAGGGACUCUUGCCGUAAAACCCCCCAAUUUUCCAAAGGUUGACCUCGGAUCAGGUAGGAAUACCCGCUGAACUUAAGCAUAUCAAUAAGCGGAGGA
rnacentral:rRNA from 1 species